GCAGGAGGAGAAGGGGAUGACAGAGAAUGAGAUGGUUGGAUGGCAUCACCAAUUUAAUGGACAUGAGUCUGAGUAAACUCCGGGAGUUGGUGAUGGACAGGGAGGCCUGGAGUGCUGUAGUCUCUGGGGUCACGAAGAGUCAGACAUGACUGAGCAACUGAACUGAACUGAAUGUGAAGAACUGACUCGUUGGAAAAGACUUUGAAGCUCGGAAAGAUUGAGGACAGGAGGAGAAGGGAGUGACAGAGGAUGGGAUGGUUGGAUGGCAUCAUUGACGCAAUGGACCUGCAUUUGAGCAAACUGUGGGAGAUAGUGAAGGACAGGGAAGCCUAACACGCUGCAGUCCAUGGGGUCUCACAGUUGAGUGACUAACAACAGCAACAAUAUGCCAAUCACUAGGAAUAUAAAGAUGAAUAAUUUUCUGGUAGAGGAUACACGUACAGACAGAAAGGGCAGGUCCAAACAGAGUAGUACUUUCUGUGAGAGGAGUAUGUCCAGAAUGGUGAGAACUCUGAGGGGAGUUUACCCACCUGAAGAAGAUAAGGUGGAAGCUGAGUACUGAAGAAUGAGCUGUAAACAGGCCCUCGAUGAAUCAGCGUAUUGCAAGCAGAGGGAUCUUCUUCCGCGGGGGUGCAGGAGAUGGGGUAGCAUGUUCGGUGGGAGCAUAAAACUCAGCAUGAUAUUGUUAGAAAGUGCAAAGUGGGAAAUGGCAGGAGAUGUAGGAUGAGUCGAGGUUCAGAGAGGAAAGGUUUUGCCAAGCUGACGAGGGUCACCUUUAUCACAGAAGCAAAGAAAACACUAUUGAAGUAUUUUAAUUGCUGGAGAAAAACUGGCAUAUUUGCAAAUUAGAGGAGCCCCUUUGGCAAUGAUGGGAGUCAAAACAGGAACCCCACAGCCUGGCUUAGGGGUUAUUGAUAGGAUCCAGUGAAGAAGAGGAGGUUAGUGAUGGUGUGGGUUGACAGGAGGAGCAGGUUUGAGAAAUAAAGGAUUUGAGACAGGCGUCAUUUAGUGGCAUUGGAUUUAGUGAAGGAAGAGGGUGAUAAUCAGGAAUAACUCGUAGAUUUCCAGCACGGUACCUAGAUAAAUCACACAGUAGCUGUUACAGGGAAUCAGAUGGAUAAUCAGGUUUGGGCACAUGAGAGAUAAUGAAUUUGCUUCUGAACACGUUGAUGUGAGGAACUUGUAAGUUAUCUAUUUGGAGAUUUCCAAGAAGCAGUUACAUAAGCGAUCUUGAAACUUGGGAAGAUGGGGCCAGUCAGCCAUCGUUGUAUACACAGUGGCUUAAAAUACAGAAGAGCAAGCAGAUUAGAAAAGCACAGAUCCAAGAGGAACCAUCGAGAAAUCUAAUGUUUUUGAGUGAAGAGCUGAGAAGAGUAACCUAUACAAGAGAUAAAGAAGGAACUUUGAAAAGUCAGGAAGGGGCUCAUUUUCCAUAAGUUACUUACAAAAAAUGGAUAAAUAUAAAAGUAAAAUCAGGCAAAUUGAAACUGUUUCUCAAUGCACCAAUUCAUGCCCCGUGUCAGCCUGGGUAGAGGACACUCACAGAGCGAAGAAAGACUCCUCAUUUCAGUCAGGAUUUCAGUCAAUGUCUCAGACAAAAGACACCUCCUUAAACAUCUAGACUGUGACAUGUUCUCAGUGUCAGUGGAAGAAUAACAUGUAAAGAAGAAUUGUAUCACAUUUGUCUUGUAAUAUUGAGCUGGGAAGUGUUUAAAGAGUUCAUUUGGUCCAACCCUCUGUGUCCAGUCAGAUGGCUACUCCAAAAACUACAGGUACUGCUUGAAAUCAGUGGUUCCCAUCUACUUUCGCCACCUCUUUUUUUUAUGUAAAAACAAACAACCAAACAAAAAAGGAAGAUGUUUUUCAUUGUGAAUCUUAGAAUUUAUUCAAAGAAAAGUUAUCUCAAAUGGUACAUAUUUCAGACUCAGUUUUAAGUCUUUUAUUUUUAUUUUUUCUAGUUCACAUGAUAACAAUACUAAGAAAGGGAUCAGGUAAUCAGCAAUGCUCUAACAUUUUCCCAACAGCUAUUAAUUUAGCUUUACAUGUAUAUAUUAAAAAAUAAUUGAUAUAAAGGGGGAUUCAUCUGAAUUAAAAGCACUGAAAGAAAAAGAAAAUUGCAAAAGAAAAUCCUAGUGGUGUUCAUUCAGCCAUCAUCCAGAGGAGGCGUGUUGUUUACCAGACCUAAUAUAUUCAGAUCACAUUGGGCAUGGCUAUCUAUUCUGAGAUCUAUGUAUCAGGAAGACUUAGCUUGCAUAUAUUAAACUUGAAAUUCAAUUGGCCGCUGAUUUAACACUCAUCAGAAAAUUUCUUUGAUCAUUUGGACUUCCAUGAAUCUCUGCUUACAAAGAGAAAGUAACUUUGCGUUGGACAGACCAUAAAACACAUGAUCAGAGUCAUAUCUAAUGUUUUAUUCUGAGAGAGCACAGCCUCUAGAAAUUCUUGUGCGUAGGAAAAGGGGGAAGCCAAUUCGGUUCUCUAACUGCAAAUAAUGGCCCUAAGGAGCCACACCUGGGCCACGCCUGCGCAGACAUAGCCGGGAGCCAGAUAACGAAACUCUACCCGGAUAGGGUUCAGUCUUUUUGAGAGGGCAUGCUUCUGAGAGCCUGGUGGGCUGCCGUCUAUGGGGUCGCACAGAGUCGGACACCACUGAAGCGACUUAGCAGCAGCAGCAGCAGCAGCCUCUGAGAUGCUUCUGGAGUGAGUGAGUCGUCAAGAGUUGUUGGCGAAUCCUAUGGGUGAGGAGCCAUGCUUCCAGGAACUUUGGGGGCUUUUCAGUCUUAGAAGCCCUUUCACAAUUGAGAUUCUCCAUUUUUAAAGCCCCAGAGGCAACCUGCAAAGGUAUGGAUCCUCAUUAAUUUCUGAUGUAUGUUGUAUAUCUGCAAGAGACCUAGAUUCUAUGCAUUGUUUCAGAUUUGAGAUUUUACACUUUUGUAUCUUAUUAAUGGUAGGGGAGGGGAUGUUUGUUGGAGGAAUGUUUGCCGUUAGUAAAGGUGGAUUGGAUGGGAAUUUCUAAGUGGAUCUGAUUGAAUUCUCUGAUGAAUAGGUGAUGCUUUACCUCUACACCUAUAGUUCUCCCACUAAGACCUGUGCUUUCUGUUUGGACAUAUGGCCACACUCAGGAUUUUUCUGGUUUUUACUUAUUUUUAUUUAUAUCCUGGCGGAGUUAAUGAUCUUCAGGGAGUACUUGUGUGUUCAAUGGAGAGCUAGAGAGUGGCUCUGGAGAUAAUGUGUUUAAUUAAACUAAAAAUUCUCCAGCACCUGUCUAUGGAAGCUGGUACCGCAGAAUGCUUGUUCCUCAAACAAAUCAGGGAUACAUUUCAAUCUAUAUCCACCAGAGCCUGUACAUUAUGGUUAUUUCUCUUCGGCGUACUGUAUUGGGGUCGAUGUGGGUGGAAAGGUAGAGGGAAGGCCAAGAAGGAAAAAAAAGAACACACACACAUAAAUCUGAAUAAUAUAUUCACGUCUAUAAUAUGUAAAACUUAAGAUGCGUCAGAAAUGGCGGAUAAAUUGACAGAUUUUUCAAAUGCCUCUUUUGCAUGUAACAACUAUGUGUUUGUUCUUAAUACAUUUUUUUGUUGAUGCAAAGAACUAUAGUGAUA
ensembl:lncRNA